rnacentral:rRNA from 1 species
GACGAACGCUGGCGGCGUGCUUAACACAUGCAAGUCGAACGGUAAGGCCCUUCGGGUACAAGAGGGGCGAAAGGGGUAGGAAAACGUGGGGGGUCUGCCCUGCAAUUCGGGGUUAGCCUGGGGAAACGGGUCCUAUACCGGAUAGGACUUCUGGGCUCCUGGGUGGGGGGGGAAAGGCUUUGCGGGGUGGGAGGGGGCCGCGGCCUAUCAGGUUGUUGGGGGGGUAAUGGCCUACCAAGGCGACGACGGGUAGGCGGCCUGAGAGGGUGACCGGUCACACUGGGACUGAGAUACGGCCCAGACUCCUACGGGAGGCAGCAGUGGGGAAUAUUGCACAAUGGGCGCAAGCCUGAUGCAGCGACGCCGCGUGAGGGAUGACGGCCUUCGGGUUGUAAACCUCUUUCAGCUAUGACGAAGCGCAAGUGACGGUAGUAGCAGAAGAAGGACCGGCCAACUACGUGCCAGCCGCCGCAGUAA